AAGACCGGCUACUCGUGUUUCCUCGGGGUACCCCAACCCGUGACUGGAGCGAGAGUCUCCCCAAGUUUGGGGGUCUUUCAUUGGGGGCUCGUCCGGGAUAGGAGCAUGACCCCCGGAGACUCGAGUGCCUCUUGGAGUAACUGUUACAGGUCUUCUUGACCACCGAGGAAAGACAGAGUCCUGCUAGAGGCCAGAAAGAAUGUUCCAGACAUGGGCGGAAGGCCCUCACUUCUGCCUGUUGACUUGAACACCCCUGAAGGAACAAGAUGUAGAACUCUCAGCUCCUCAUGCACCAUGUCUGGGCACUGCCAUGCUCCCGCCUUGAUGAUAAUGGACUGAACCUCUGAACCUACAUUUCUGCUUCGUUACAAUGACCCUAAAUGAGAGAUUGAGUCUCCACUUGACACUUCCCAUGACUUAUAAAUACUGCUCUUAGUUCCGGAGAAGGUAGGCUCACUUACAGAAGGCAUUCUAGGGAUGAGAUUUCCAAGCAAAUGAGCGACUACAAUUGGCUGCACACUGGGAAUGUUUAAUAAGUUCACUCCGGAACCGCAGGCUGAGAACCUUGACUUGGACGUGUGAAGAGGAGAGAAGACACCCCACAUGCUAGUUUCCAGAAAAGGUUUCAAGGCUGGUGCAACUAAGACAUGUCAGAGGCUGCUCGAGGCUGCCCUUGCUGGUGCGGUGACUCCCACAGCAUCUUUCGUCUUUCCUGGCCAGUGCGCUCAGCUUGCAGACACGGCUGGGGUCACCACUCCAUGUAAUCCAACUCAGCUGUGGAAGACCGCCCCUGGAAAUGCACUUGAAAUUACAUCUCCCCUCUGGGUUUAUUGUCCUAUUGAUACUUGAGUUGUUCUGAGGAUAUGACUGGCUCCCUUCCUUGCCCCGAGUGGGGCAUCUGUGGUAACUUAAUGCCCUGCGCCCCCAG
ensembl:lncRNA